CGAUGACAGAUAUUCUCCAUGAGCGGAUCGUGGCUCAGGUUAGAAGAGGGAGAAUAUCAUAAAGGGUUCAAAUCGGGGAGUCAGAGCAAAAUCAUCUACAGCCAAGAAAUUUUCCUGGCUGUCGCCAUCCGUGGUUCAGCAGCACCCACGUGGGCAUCUGGCUAAAUGAUGGGGGAGAGUCAUGCAAAUCACUUCCACUGACUACGACGUCAAAGGCCAUGAUUGUGACUGAUGAUCCCUGGGGUCA